CCCUUAGAUGUUCUGGGCCGCACGCGCGCUACACUGAUGCAUUCAACGAGUUUCUUCCUGGUCCGAGAGGAAUGGGUAACCUUUUGAAAGUGCAUCGUGAUAGGGAUAGACUAUUGCAAUUAUUGGUCUUCAACGAGGAAUUCCUAGUAGACGUAGUUCAUCAGACUGCAUCGAUUACGUCCCUGCCCUUUGUACAUACCGCCCGUCGCUCCUACCGAUUGAAUGCUCAGGUGAGCCAUUCGGACUUUCAUCAUGCUGGUUUCCAGUUUUGAUGAAGGAAAGUCUUGCGAACCUUAUCAUUUAGAGGAAGGAGAAGUCGUAACA
rnacentral:rRNA from 1 species